GUGGGGAAUCUUCCGCAAUGGACGAAAGUCUGACGGAGCAACGCCGCGUGAGUGAUGAAGGUUUUCGGACUGUAAAGCUCUGUUGUUUAGGACGAAAGUGCCUGUUGCAAAUAGUUACAGGUAUUGACGGUACUGAACGAGGAAGCCACGGCUAACUACGUGCCAGCAGCCGCGGUAAUACGUAGGUGGCAAGCGUUGUCCGGAAUUAUUGGGCGUAAAGAGCAUGUAGGCGGGAAUCUAAGUCUGUUGUGAAAAUGCGGGGCUCAACCCCGUAUUGCGAUGGAAACUGGGUUUCUUGAGUGCAGGAGAGGAAAGGGGAAUUCCCAGUGUAGCGGUGAAAUGCGUAGAUAUUGGGAGGAACACCAGUGGCGAAGGCGCCUUUCUGGACUGUGUCUGACGCUGAGAUGCGAAAGCCAGGGUAGCGAACGGGAUUAGAUACCCGUGUAGUCC
rnacentral:rRNA from 1 species